rnacentral:rRNA from 1 species
CUGUACUGCAGUAUAACAGAACUGUGGGGACACGUAAGGAGAGCGGGAGCCGGGAAUGGAAAGCCCGGUACAAGCGAGGUACCAGUAUGGUAGGAAAAACCGCCAUGCAAUGGGAAGACGUGAUGUGGAGUGAAAUAUAGUAACGAAGCCCGUGAGCCAUGCGUCAAGAAAAACCGCUAUUGUUUAUAUUGUACCCGUACCGUAAACCGACACAGGUGGAUGAGGAGAGAAUCCUAAGGCCGGCGGAAGAAGUAUUGCCAAGGAACUCGGCAAAAUGGCCCCGUAACUUAGGGAGAAGGGGUGCCUGCGAGAGCAGGCCGCAGAGAAUAGGCUCAAGCAACUGUUUAGCAAAAACACAGGUCUAUGCGAAACCGAAAGGUGAGGUAUAUGGGCUGACGCCUGCCCGGUGCUGGAAGGUUAAGAGGAGAGGUUAGACGCAAGUCGAAGCUUUGAAUUUAAGCCCCAGUAAACGGCGGCCGUAACAAUAACGGUCCUAAGGUAGCGAAAUUCCUUGUCGGGUAAGUUCCGACCCGCACGAAAGGCGUAAUGAUUUGAGCGCUGUCUCGGCAAUACAUCCGGUGAAAUUGAAGUGCCAGUGAAGAUGCUGGCUACCCGCGCCAGGACGGAAAGACCCCAUGGAGCUUUACUCCAGUUUGGCACUGGGGUCCGGUGUUGCAUGUACAGGAUAGGUGGGAGGCUGAGAGAUAGUGACGUCAGUUGCUAUGGAGCCGCUGUUGGGAUACCACCCUUGUGAUAUUGAGCUUCUAACCAGCCGCCGUGAACCGGCGGUGGGACAAUGCCAGGCGGGGAGUUUGACUGGGGCGGUCGCCUCCGAAAGGGUAUCGGAGGCGCCCAAAGGUUCCCUCAGAAUGGACGGAAACCAUUCGAAGAGUGCAAAGGCAGAAGGGAGCUUGACUGCGACACCGACGGGUGGAGCAGGUACGAAAGUAGGGCUUAGUGAUCCGGUGGUAUUAAGUGGGAAUGCCAUCGCUCAACGGAUAAAAGCUACCCUGGGAUAACAGGCUUAUCACUCCCAAGAGUUCACAUCGACGGAGUGGUUUGGCACCUCGAUGUCGGCUCAUCGCAUCCUGGGGCUGUAGUAGGUCCCAAGGGUUGGGCUGUUCGCCCAUUAAAGCGGUACGCGAGCUGGGUUCAGAACGUCGUGAGACAGUUCGGUCCCUAUCCGGCGUGGGCGUAGGAUAUCUGAGAGGAGCUGUCCUUAGUACGAGAGGACCGGGAUGGACGGACCGCUGGUGGACCGGUUGGCUUGCCAAAGCCAUGGCCGGGUAGCCAAGUCCGGAAGGGAUAAACGCUGAAGGCAUCUAAGCGUGAAGCCCCCCUCAAGAUGAGAUAUCCCAUUCUUUAAGAAGUAAACCCCCUUGAAGACGACGAGGUAGAUAGGGCAGAGGUGGAAGUGUGGUAACACAUGGAGCUGACUGUUACUAAUCGGGUGAGGGCUUGAGC